GAUCCCUCGCGGGUGCACCGCC
rnacentral:sRNA from 1 species